CACAAUAUUACACAACAAUCUUCGAUCUCCUCAACACCCUCCUCGGUCGCCUCUCACAAUCGCCGACUUAAAUUAGGGGCUCUCUUGCGGAUUCAAUCGGCCCUAAUCGCUCGUGAUGACGUUCGUGACGACGGAUGGCUCGAAUCGGUCGUUGGCUCACCGAGGACUCGCGUUUGGAGCAGCAGCGCUCGCGAUUCGCUGACGCAGAAUCACAAGCUAUCUGCAGCUCACGCGGAGACACGUCUGGAGCUCAACGGCUUUUACUGAAUAAAUGUCACAGAUCUGGGCUCCAAAUCGGAAGAAGAAGGACUCGCACUCGGAAGACCUCGAUCAGGGAUCGCUAGCACGCAAUCAGAGCUCACGGAGGUGCUCGCUCGCGAUUCUCAGAGAUGCUCGCUCGCGACCUCAACAGUCUCACGGAGAAGCUCGCUCACGCAGACGGUGGUGUCCUUGCUCACAGUGCUCUCUCUCACGCAGACGGUGAUGUACGUGCUCGCUCUCCCGCAGUAGGAUCGAUGGGUCGUCUCUAAGAAAUGCUCGCUCGCGACCUCAACAGUCUCGCGGAGAAGCUCGCUCACGCAGACAGUGGUGCCCAUGCUCGCAGUGCUCGCUCUCCCGCAGUUCCGUGCUCGCAGUCGCUUGUAGAAGAGGGUUCCGACUCGUGUGGUUUUAG
rnacentral:lncRNA from 1 species